rnacentral:rRNA from 1 species
UACAGAGGGUGCAAGCGUUGUUCGGAAUUAUUGGGCGUAAAGAGCUCGUAGGCGGUUUGUCGCGUCUGCCGUGAAAGUCCGGGGCUCAACUCCGGAUCUGCGGUGGGUACGGGCAGACUAGAGUGAUGUAGGGGAGACUGGAAUUCCUGGUGUAGCGGUGAAAUGCGCAGAUAUCAGGAGGAACACCGGUGGCGAAGGCGGGUCUCUGGGCCGUAACUGACGCUGAGGAGCGAAAGCGUGGGGAGCGAACAGG